CCACAUUAUUACAGGGUUCAUUACCCAAGUUUUAGAGUUCUUCCAUUCCUUUUUUAAUUUUUGGUACUGAGGAUUGAAGCCAGGAGUGCUUAACACAGAGCCACAUCCCCAGCCCUCUUUUAUGUUUUAUUUAGAGACAGGGUCCCGCUGAGUUGCUUAGGGCCUUGCUAAAUUGCUGAGACUGGCUUUGAGCUUGUGAUCCUCCUGCCUCAGCCUCCAGGGCCGCUGGGAUUCCAGGUGUGUGUCACUGCACCGGGUGAGUUCUUCCAUUGUUAAUACCAGUAUUUGUUGCUUAGGGCCUUGUUAAGUUGCUGAGGCUGGAAACUUGUACACCUCCUGCCUCAGCCUCCCAGGCAGCUGGGAUUACAGGUGUGUCAACCAUGCUCAGAGUCAGAACCUUUUUUUUUUUUUUUUUAAAGAAAGAGUGAGAGAGAGUGAGAAAGAGGGAGAGAGAGAGAGAAUUUUUUUAAUAUUUAUUUUUUAGUAUUUGGCGGACACAACAUCUUUGUCUGUAUGUGGUGCUGAGGAUCGAACCCGGGCAGCACGCAUGCCAGGCGAGCGCGCUACCGCUUGAGCCACAUCCCCAGCCCCAGAACCUUUUAAUUUUAGGGCUGGAGCUCAGGUUAAUCAGAAUGUGAAGCUGUCAUGCUGCCUGAAGGCUCCGGACUCUCAAAAUUGUGGAAUUUUAAUUUUUUUCUUUUGUUCUUCUUCGUUUGUUUGGAAUUUUACUCUUAGAGCCUCCUUAGAAGGCCUCAUAAGAAUCCAAUGCUCUCGUUUUGCAAAGUAAGGACCUGGACCAAGAAUUGGGAAGUGGCUUGUGUAGAACAGGUACAUGGGCUCUCUCUCGUCCAGCAAGGAGGUCCACAGAACAGGGUAAAGGAGAGCUUGGCUGCGGAGUCGCUAAUCAAGACCUCUGGAGACCAAGCAGGAAGCAGGUCUGCACAGUUACCAAAUAUAUAUACUUAGGCAGGAGCUAAGCAGAUUACAGGCAGCCACCACUGCAAUUUCUGGCCAACUGUCCCUGCAGUGACCCAUGGAGGAGUGGGCCCUAGAGCAAGCACAGGGACUGAAACAUGCAGCCUCAUGCCCAGGGCUGGGCCUAUGGGGUAAGUGGUUUACCUCUCAUGCGCCUAGCACAAGGGGCGUGGCCUGCCACCCAGAUGCCCUUAAGGUAGGCCAUGUAUGCAGAACUCCAUGCAGCUGUCCUCACACAAGGGGCAUGGGAGAAGCUACAGGCAUGGGUGGACGUCUCUCCCUGUUGACACUCAUACCCAGGAGUUUGGCAUAAGUUCUUUUGAAGAUAAAUACCCAGGGCAAGAAAGGUAUUUACCAAGUUGAAUGAAUUCCUUAUCUCUUGAGAAAUUUCUCUCAGGGACAUGGCUGAGAUGGCCUUGGGGAAGCCCAAACCAGGUGUCCCAACAGCUUAGAUUCCCUGCCAGGGCUUGAGUGAGUGGGGUGGGCAGUCUCAGGAUUGUUAAACCUUCAGGGAGUGUAAAAGCCAGCCAGCCACAUCCUGCCCCAGUUACAGACUGACCUCUGACCACAAUUGGAAUAGAAAAAAAAUUAUAUGUAUGUGUGUGUGUAUAUAUAUAUAUAUCUAUAUUUUUUUGGGAGGUGUGGUACUGGGGAUUGAACCUAUGGCCACUCUACCACUAAGCUCUACCCUUGCUCCCCAACAUUUUUCCCCCUUUGGAGAUAGAGACUCACUAAGUUGCCAAGGCUGGCCUUGAACUUAUUGUUUUGUUACUAGGAAUUAAACCUAGGGGCACUUAAGCACUGAGCCACAUCCUCAGACCUUUUUUUUUUGGAGGGGGGGUGGUGGUAACCAGGGACUGAACUCAGGGGCACUCAACCACUGAGCCAUAUCCCCAGCCCUAUUUUGUAUUUUAUUUAAAGACAGGGUCUCACUGAGUUGCUGAGGCUGGUUUUGAACUCAUGAUCCUCUUGCCUCAGCCUCCUGAGCCGCUGGGAUUACAGGCAUGCACCACCACACCCAGCCCCAACCCUUUUUAUUUUUGAUUUUGAAAUGGGGUCUUGCUAAGUUGCUAAGGCUAGCCUUGAACUUGUAAUCCUCCUGCCUCAGCCUUCACAGUUGCUGGGAUUACAGUUGCAUGCUAUCCUACAUGGGGUUGGAAUGAAUCUUUUUUCCUCAUGUUCUUAUUAAAAUUGUCAUUUAUUUAGGUUGUUCCCUUGGAUGAAUCUUAACUUUGGGCCUACACAGGAUCCUAAGUCCAACCACCAGAUGGGGAGGGAAGAGCUCAUGUAAAGACUAAGAGAAAGACUACAUGGGAUAUGACGGGGGAGUCUGGAGGGUUUCAGCCAGGGGGCCAUCAGCUCUUUGUUGUCACAUCAAAGCCACUGCAGCAGUACAGAGGGGAGGAGGGAAAAUUGGGAACAUUCAGGCAUGGGGCCUCCCUUGCCUCAGGAUCUGGAGAAAUUUGAUACUGUGGAUGCUGUAACACAUAACCACAAAAUCAGAGGCAUCGACCAGCCCAGGUCUAUUCUCUUACGGUUCUGUAGGCCAGAAGUCCCUCAUGCAUCAAAAGGGACUAAAUCAAGGCACCGGCAAGCCUGGCUCCUCUGGAGGCUCUGGGGAGAGUCCAGCAUUUAGAGGCUGCCCACUUUCCUUGGCUCCUGGCUGCAUCCUGCCAGGCUCUGCUUCUAACAUCCUAUCUCCUCCUUUUACUUUGACUGUUCUGCCUCCCUGUUAUAAGGACCCUCAUGAUCACAUAGGGUCACCAGGAUAAUCCAGAAUAACUUCCAUAUCUCAAGACCCUUAAUUUAAUCACCUCUGCAAAAUCUCUUUCACCAUGUAGGGAAACACAGCUGCAGAUUCCAGAUUCCUUCACUCAGCCUGCCACCACGCUGGACACAGGAGCUUCAGGGACGGGCUCCCAGGGAAUUUCUCAAGGAGCCGGGUCCUGGGUUGACUUUGGUGAGAAUUCCCUUCAGCAGUCACUCUCUUCCCUUCCCACAGUGACUCCAUUUAACUUAUCAGGCUUUCUAGUUAAAUCAAUAUUGCCUGUUUACAUUAUCAUGCUGUGUGACAGAGUCCAAGUUGGACCAGCAGCAACCUGUAAGCACAUUUCCUUUCCCCUUCAGGCAUGUUUUCCCCAAGGUCGACAACAGCUUUGACUUUCAUUUGCUUAAUUUCCUAAACACUGGUUAGUAUCCUCCUCCUCCACCCCACACGAUUGGGGAUUGAACCCAGGGGUGAGUUUCAUCCCUAAACCUUUUUAUUUUUUAUUUUGAAACAGGGUCUUGCUAAAUUGCACAGGCUGGGCUUGAACUUGUGAUCCUGAGCUGCUGGGAUUACAGGCAUGUGUCACCAUGCCAGGCUCACACUGAAGUUUUCAUAUUUAGAAAGACUUUAGGUGAUAGACUCCAGCCAUCUCAGACCUUCAUCUGCCCUUUGCCUACAGCCUGACACACACACACACACACACACACACACACACACACGCAGGCACGCGGGCACGCUGGCUUGUUAUCAGAGUCCUAGGCCAGAAGCCUCUGCAGGGGUCCUAAUGAGCCAGAUCUGGCCACUCACCCCCAAAACCAAACAGAAAAGGUCAUGGUGAAGAUCUGGAAAGGAAACUUUAAUCCAUAUGGCUUCAUUGGGAGGGAGAGUGAGAUCCAGCAUAAUUUCCGAGGGCAAUGACAGAAACUUUAUUUAUUUAUUUAUUUUUUAAAAACUGUGGGGGGGGCUGGGGUUGUGACUCAGUGUUGGAGCACUCACCUCGCACGUGUGAGACCCUGGGUUCGAUCCUCUACCCACAUACAAAAAUAAACAAGUGAAAUAAAGGUAUUGUGUCAACUAAAAAGUAAAUAUUAAAAACAAAAACAAACAAACAAAAAAAAACUGGGGACUCAACUCAGGGACACUUAACCACUGAGCCUCAUCCCAAGUCCUUUUUAAAAAUUUUUGUUUAGAGGCAGGGUCUUGCUGAGUUGUUUAGGGCCUUGCUGAGGUUUUCUUUGAACUCCAGCCUCAGCCUCCCAAACUGCUGGGAUUACAGGCGUAAUUUGUGCCCAGUAGAAGCUUUUGGUUUAAAUAAAGGAAUCAUUUGGGUGGGGGGUGGGGUGGGGGGAGGCAUGUGUAACUAAGCUGUCUUGGUCAGUGGUCUGGUUGGUCAUUAUUUCAGCUCUGGUUCUGGGAGGUGGUUCUGGAGAAGUCCUUACUCCCAUUGCUGCUCAGGCUGUUUAUCCCGAGAUCCAGGAAGGCUUCGAUGCCUGGAGACUUCUAGGCACCACUCCAGGGAGCUGAUGCUGCACGAGUGAGUUGACAGUCAAUGUCCCUGCGGAUCUUAUCUCAGUCUCAAGGGGGUGAGAUACGUUAGGUAAAUUUAGGGCUAAUAAACGUGGUAUUACUAGAUUUUAGAUGAAGGCUCCUUAGUGCCUGAGUAUAAGAGCUAAGCGGGACCUCACCCAAAGUUUAAGGUAAUAAAGGAGACAGGUGCAAAAUGAAGGCAAAGAUGUUAAGCUUUAUCUUGCUUUGAGUUAUCCCUAGGGCAUCUGCAGACCUAAGAGUCUGUGCUUUUAGCAAAAACAGCUUCUGUAAAUCCCGGUUAUACUUUCAUGAAACCCCAGACCCACCCAGACUCAGACACAACAUGCACAGGGUCACCCAUUUCCCAGCUGACUAAGUGCUCCUCAGCUCCUUUCUAGUAACAACGGGGAAUGUCUCAGGGCACUCCAGGGCUCCAUAACCCUCCACAGGUCAGCACCCGCUCCCAGGUACCCACUUCCAGUCUCAUUGAACUCCUCUCCAAGGAUCAGACCCUCCAGACCACCAGGUGGCGCUGUGAGCAAAAAUGCUCUGGGGCGGAGCUGAGGUGUGGAGGAGGGGUGGGGGUGGGGUGGGAGAGGUCAGAAAUAGCUUGAGUGGCAGGUGGAGAGGGAGAGGGGAAGGUACCCGGAUCCCAUUAUUUAUUUAUUUAUUUAUUUAUUUAUUUAUUUUUUUUUUUUUUUAAAAUAUUUAAUUAUUUAUUUAUUUGGCGGACACAGCAUCUUUGUUUGUAUGUGGUGCUGAGGAUCGAACCCGGGCCGCACGCAUGCCAGGCGAGCGCACUACCGCUUGAGCCACAUCCCCAGCCCCCCAUUAUUUAUUUAUUUAUUUGAGAGAGAGAGAGAGAGAGAGAGAGAGAGAGAGAGAGAGAGAGAAUUUUUUAAUAUUUUCGGCAGACACAACAUCUUUGUUUGUGGUGCUGAGGAUCGAACCCGGGCCAGGCAAGCGCGGUACUGCUUGAGCCACAUCCCCAGUCCCCGGAUCCCAUUUAACUCUGAACAUUCCAAAGGGAAGUACGCUUGGUAUUCCCUCUUUUUUUUUUUUUUUUUUUAAAGAGAGAGAGAGAGAGAGAGAGAGAGAGAGAGAGAAUUUUUAAAAAAUAUUUAUUUAUUUAUUUUUAGCUCUUGGCGGACACAACAUCUUUGUUUGUAUGUGGUGCUGAGGAUCCAACCAGGCCGCAGGCAUGCCAGGCGAGCGCUCUACCACUUGAGCACAUCCCCAGCCUCUUGGUAUUCCCUCUUAACAGAUAAGAAAACUGAGGCUCAGAGAAGUGACACAGUUACUUAAAUUCACAACUGGAGCAUGACUGAACUGAGAUGUUCUGGCAAUGACAAAAUCCGUCCGUCCUUCCUUCCUUCCUUCCUCUCUCCCUCCCUCCGCUGAGCCGCAUCCCCAGUCCUACUUUGUAUUUUAUUUAUGUUAGAGACAGGGUCUUACUGAGUUGCUAAGCCCCUUGCUGUUACUGAGGCUGGCUUUGAACCUCCUCCUGCCUCAGCCUCUGGAGCUGCUGGGAUUACAGGACUGUGCCACCGCACCCAGCGAAGUUCUUUUCCUUAAGCACAGUGUUUGACAUACGUAGCUCUGGUUUAGUGUAUGGAGGUGGGUGAGGCUUUUGGUGGGUCAAAAUUAUCUGUGUGAGCCCAGCGUGGUGAUGCAUGCCUGUAAUCUCAGAGACUCAGGAGUCUGAGGCAGGAGGAUCUCAAGUUCAAAGCCAGCCUUGGCAAUUUAGUGAGGCCCUAGGCAACUCAGUGAGACCCUGUUUAAAAAUUUAAAAAAGUAAAAAAGGACUGGGUGUGUGUGUGGCUCAGUGGUAGGUUCAAUACCUGGUACAAAAACAGAACAAAACAACAAAAAAACAAUCUGUGUGAGCUGGGGCUGUAGCUUAGUGAUAGGGUGCAUGGGUAUAUGCCUAGUGUGUGAGGGGCCCUCAAAAAUCUGUAUGCAAAUAUUAAUAUGGAUAUAUUGUUAACAUUAACAAUAGCAGUAGUAGCUAACGUUAAUUGAAGGCUUCCUACCUCCAGCUUUACGGUAAACCCUUUGUUAAAUCUUCACAGUACCACUGAGAAGUAGGUAGGUAGCAUUUUAUUUUUUGGUACUGGAUAUUGAACCCAGGAGCGCUUUCCCACUAGGGUCUCCAUAAGUUUCUGAGGCUGGCCUUGAACCUGAGAUCCUCCUGCCUCAGCUUCCUGAGUUGCUGAGAUGAUAGGCGUGUGCCACUGGACUUUAAAAAAAAGUCAACUAAGGGAAAACUAGAGACUUCAUAGAAGAAAACCAGAAGUUUUUUUUUUUUUUUUUAAGGCCAUUGAACAACCUUUGUCUUCCGAAGACCAUGGGAAAGGCUUUUGACUCUUCUGAGUCUCUUUUAACCAAGGACCCUCACUUGCUGGGCCCUGUCAGCCACCGAAGGCACUGCGGAGACGGAGACGGAAUGGCCUGGUGUUGGCUGUAAUUGUGGGGCCACAGGGGCGAGCAGUAGAGCAUGGAACCAGGGAUCAGGCCACUUCCCAUCCUCGCCCCUAAAUUUCAUCAUGGUUUCAAUUUUUUUUUGAGUUUCCUAAUUUUUUGGGUUGUUGAGCAUCUUUUCCCACACUUUUUGAUCAUCUGUGUAUUUUCUUUCUUUCUUUUUUUUUUAAGAGAGAGAGAGAAUUUUUAAUAUUUAUUUUUUUAGUUUUCGGCGGACACAACAUCUUUGUUUGUAUGUGGUGCUGAGGAUCGAACCCGCGCCGCACGCAUGCCAGGCGAGCGCGCUACCGCUUGAGCCACAUCCCCAGCCCCAUCUGUGUAUUUUCUUUGGUGCAAAGUCUGUUCAAAUCUUUCACUUUCCAUAUUUUGGCCUGGAAUCCAUCUUUUCCAUUGAAAUCAGGGAACCCAUUUCAAAGGCUGCACCAACCACCUGAGGGUUUUUUUUUUUUUUUUUUUACUAGUACCAGCCACCACUGGGCUCCUCAGCUCUUCCACCAAUGAUGACCACUUCCUUCCCCAUAAAGAAAAGCAUUUCCCCCGCUGACUUUCAUAGGAUUUUAGCACUUCAUGGUUGGUUUGGCAUUUGAUUUCCUCAGUACCAUCAUGAAGUGCCUGUUUUGGUAUACUUUGCACGGUUAUGUAUUGUCUUGUAACUGGCUCCUUUGUUCAAAACUAGGUUUCUGUGAUUCAUUCUUGUUGUCUAAAGCCAUAGUUCAUUCAUUUUCCUUGCUUUAUAGUAAUGCCCUUAUGAAUAGAUGGCAAUUUAUUCAUUCUGCUUCUUUGCCCUCAUUUUGUUUAGGCAUCACUUGUAAGCACACAGCUCACUGGGACAUGUGCAUAAUAGACACAUGGGCUUAAAUUGACCUUAAAUGGCUCUGUCAUGCCCCUUUUCCAUUUGAUAACCACCAAAUAUAGACAUUAUUCUGACCUUUGUCUUUUAAGGUACGUUUGCUUGUUUUUAUUUUUUGGUACCAGGGAUUGACCCUGGAAGUGUUUAGCCACUGAGCUACAUCCCUAGUUCUUUUUAUUUUUUAAUUCUGAGACCGGGUCUUGCUAAGUUGCUGAGGCUGGUUUUGAAUUUGUGAUUCUUCUGCCUCAGCCUCCCAGGUUGCUGGGAUCACAGGUGUUUGCCAUCACCCCAAACAUUACAUUCUUUAUUUAACCCACUCCUAGACCAUUGUUCUAUCUUAUCUAUCCAUCUGUCUAUGGAUCCAUCCAGCUAUGUCUGUUUUUGUGUUGCUAUACCAAAUACCACAGACUGGGUACAUUAUAAAGAACAGAAUACCCUCACAGAUCUGGAGGCUGGAAAUUCAAGGUCAAGGCACUGGCCGGUUCAGUGCCUAGUAAGUGUUUAGCUUCUGUUUCCAAGAUGGUGCCCUGAAUGCAGUGUCCUUUAGAGGGGAAGGAUGGAAAAUGGUGGCCAAAAGGAGUAAAGUCCCUUUAUCAACUUCUAUAAGGGCAUCUCAUCCCAUUCAUGAGGGUGGAGUCCUCACAAUGUAAUCAUCUCCCAAAGGCCACCCCUCCUGUGUUGCCAGCUUUCCAUUGCUCUGACAACAACUUGAGAUAAAUCAGUUUUUUUUUUCUCUUAAUCAGUUUUAAAAGGGGAAAGGUUAGCCAGGCACGGUGGCACAUGUCUGUAAUCCUAGUGGCUUGGGAGACUCAGGCAGGUGGAUUGGAAGUUUGAGGCCAGCCUCAGCAACUUAGUAAGGCUCUAAGAAACUUAGUGAGAUCCUGUUUCAAAAUAAAAAAUUAAAAAGGUCCCAGGAUGUGGCUCAGUGGUUAAGCACUUUUGGGUCCAAUCGUGGUACCAGUUCAUGGUCACCUGAUUUUUUCUUUCUUUUUUUAUUUAUUUAACUCAGGGCCUUGUUUAGUUGCUGAGGCUGGCUUUGAACUCCUGCCUGGAUCCUCCUGCCUCAGCCUCUGGAGCCCCUGGGAUUACAGGUGUGCACCACUGCACUUGGCAUACUUAGUUUUUUAGUAAGCAGGCAGACUACUGGAGUUCGAUCCAGUUUGAUCUGCACCCCAUUAGCAAAGUGACUGAUCAAGUUCUGAGACCUCCCUAUACCUCCAUUUCCCCAAUGGCAAAAUGGGGAUAAUUCUUUAAAAUUUAUUUUAUUUUUCAAUUUAUAUAUGACAGUGGAAUGCAUUACAAUUCUUACUUCACAUAUAGAGCACAAUUUUUCAUAUCUCUGGUUGUAUACAAAGUAUAUUCACACCCAUUCCUGUCUUCAUACAAAAUGGGGAUAAUUUUAUAGAUACAUAGUGAAAAUAUUUACAGGUGAAUGGAUACAGUGUCUGGGCUUUGAUUUAAAUAAUUCUGGAAAAAUUUUUUUUGGAGGGGCGUGGAGGGGAAUAUUGGGAGUAUAGACAAGAUUGGCCUUGAGUGGAUUGUCGUUAGAGCUGAAUGAUUGACAUCUCCCACAAUGAAACAAUUUUUUUAAAGAAAGAAAAAAAAUGAAAAGUGGGGAGGGGGUGAAAGCGAUAAAUCUCCUUAGGAGAAGGGAUUAAAGAAAUAAAUUUAAAUGAAAUCCAAGAACCUGGAACAACGCCUGGCCCUCAGUUACGCUAUCUUGUUGUAAUUCGGGCCAGUCGCCACCAGGGGGCGCUCACCACUAAGAGCUCAGACUUAGAUUGUUACUUUGAGCUUGGAUCCCGGCUAGCACUGCCCAGCGGAAGCCUCUUAAUCUCUCAGGUUGGGAUGCAGCCUUUAUCUUAGCCUCAUUUUAUUCAUUUUAAAAAUGGAGAUAGUAAUAGUAUCGACUUCGAGUUGUCGGGAUGAUUCAUACACGGGGAUGUAUGGUGCCACCUAGAUCCUGUGCACGCCCCUCUCCCUGGACACCUCCUCCUGGACAUGGAUCUGCCUUCAUCUUCCCUGUCUUUCCUACAGGGACUCUCUCAACUGCCCAAGUAGAUCGGGAAAUUCAGCAAAGACGACAAAGGGAAGUUGUUUGCAAAAAUGGGAACUUUGGUUCGGAGUGGGCACUAGAGGGGGGAGUCUUCCUAGAAGCCGCAGGAACUUUUAGAAGCCGGUUUUCUUGAGAAGUGAUUGAGAUUUGAGCCUCUGUCAAUCACACCUGAGUCAGAAUUUUCAGUUCCAGCAUCUACAAUCCGCAUGACCUUGGACAAGUGACUUCGCCAGCCUACCGCUUAGU
rnacentral:lncRNA from 1 species